GCGUUGAUGGUGUAAUGGUAACAUCGAAGCUUCCCAUUGUCACAAAGACAACUGCUUUGGCCCCGGGUUCGAUUCCCGGUCAGCGCA